GCUGCUAUAGCACAGUAGGUAGUGCGCAACAUUGGUAGUGUUGAGGUCACCAGUUCGAUUCUGGUUAGCAGCU
rnacentral:tRNA from 2 species